GACGAACGCUGGCGGCGUGCCUAAUACAUGCAAGUCGAGCGGACGGAUGGGAGCUUGCUCCCCGUCCGUCAGCGGCGGACGGGUGAGUAACACGUUGGCACCCUGCCUGUAAUACUGUGAUAACUCCGGGAAACCGGGUCUAAUACCUGCUAACUCUUUCCCUCACAUGAGGGAAAGCUGAAAGAUGGCAUCUCGCUAUCACUUACAGAUGGGCCCGCUUCGCAUUAGCUAGUUGGUGAGGUAACGGCUCACCAAGGCGACGAUGCGUAGCCGACCUGAGAGGGUGAUCGGCAACACUGGGACUGAGACACGGCCCAGACUCCUACGGGAGGCAGCAGUAGGGAAUAUUCCGCAAUGGACGAAAGUCUGACGGAGCAACGCCGCGUGAGUGAUGAAGGUUUUCGGAUCGUAAAACUCUGUUGUCAGGGAAGAACAAGUACCGGAGUAACUGCCGGUAUCUUGACGGUACCUGAACAGAAAGCCACGGCUAACUACGUG
rnacentral:rRNA from 1 species